AUUGAACGCUGGCGGCAGGCCUAACACAUGCAAGUCGAGCGGAUGAAGGGAGCUUGCUCCUGGAUUCAGCGGCGGACGGGUGAGUAAUGCCUAGGAAUCUUCCUGGUAGUGGGGGAUAACGUCCGGAAACGGGCGCCAAUACCGCAUACGUCCUGAGGGAGAAAGUGGGGGAUCUUCGGACCUCACGCUAUCAGAUGAGCCUAGGGCGGAUUAGCUAGUUGGUGGGGUAAAGGCCUACCAAGGCGACGAUCCGUAACUGGUCUGAGAGGAUGAUCAGUCACACUAGAACUGAGACACGGUCCAGACUCCUACGGGAGGCAGAAGUGUGGAAUAUUGGACAAUGGGCGAAAGCCUGAUCCAGCCAUGCCGCGUGUGUGAAGAAGGUCUUCGGAUUGGAAAGCACUUUAAGUUGGGAGGAAGGGCAGUAAGAUAAUACCUUGCUGUUGUGACGUUACCAACAGAAUAAGCACCGGCUAACUUCGUG
rnacentral:rRNA from 1 species